rnacentral:rRNA from 1 species
CCGGCACGGGUGAGUAACACGUAUCCAACCUGCCGUCUACUCUUGGCCAGCCUUCUGAAAGGAAGAUUAAUCCAGGAUGGCAUCAUGAGUUCACAUGUCCGCAUGAUUAAAGGUAUUUUCCGGUAGACGAUGGGGAUGCGUUCCAUUAGAUAGUAGGCGGGGUAACGGCCCACCUAGUCAACAUGGAUAGGGGUUCUGAGAGGAAGGUCCCCCACAUUGGAACUGAGACACGGUCCAA